rnacentral:misc_RNA from 1 species
GAGAGAGAGAGAGAGAGAGAACUACACUCACGGCUGGGGCAAUACAAAAAAAGUUCUAGUUGGUUCCAAAUAAGUAUGUGUUUUACUCCUUUAAAUUCUUGGAUUUAAAUAAUGUUGUAAAACAAAUGAGUUCCUAGUGGUUCUAUGUUGGUUGAUUUGGCAAAAAAAGUGUUGACAAAUGAAACUAAUGGAUUUCAUUUAAUUAUCUUGAAACUAAUGGAUUUCAUUUAAUUAUCUUGAUACUUUAUUUUCCUUCUUUUGAUAACUGAAUUACUCUGCCACAGGCAACGGAGGAGAGAUACAAA